CCCCUCUCAGGGUCGCACCUGGAGAGUUUCCAGUACCCUACCGGUCUUGAUUAUGAGAGGGAGAGUCAAGCAGAAGCCUGACCAUUCCAUUCCUAGUUUGGCCAAUGACUAGCAAGAGGAAGGCAAUCUGCUACAAGU